rnacentral:rRNA from 1 species
AGUGAACGCUGGCGGUAGGCCUAACACAUGCAAGUCGAACGGCAGCACAGUAAGAGCUUGCUCUUACGGGUGGCGAGUGGCGUACGGGUGAGGAAUACAUCGGAAUCUACUUUUUCGUGGGGGAUAACGUAGGGAAACUUACGCUAAUACCGCAUACGACCUACGGGUGAAAGCAGGGGAUCUUCGGACCUUGCGCGAUUGAAUGAGCCGAUGUCGGAUUAGCUAGUUGGCGGGGUAAAGGCCCACCAAGGCGACGAUCCGUAGCUGGUCUGAGAGGAUGAUCAGCCACACUGGAACUGAGACACGGUCCAGACUCCUACGGGAGGCAGCAGUGGGGAAUAUUGGACAAUGGGCGCAAGCCUGAUCCAGCCAUACCGCGUGGGUGAAGAAGGCCUUCGGGUUGUAAAGCCCUUUUGUUGGGAAAGAAAAGCAGCAGGUUAAUACCCGGCUGUAAUGACGGUACCCAAAGAAUAAGCACCGGCUAACUUCGUG